rnacentral:rRNA from 1 species
UCCUACGGGACGCAGCAGUGAGGAAUAUUGGUCAAUGGGCGGGAGCCUGAACCAGCCAAGUCGCGUGAGGGAAGACGGUCCUAUGGAUUGUAAACCUCUUUAGGCGGGGAGCAAUGCCGGGCACGCGUGCCCGGAGGGAGAGUACCCGCAGAAUAAGCAUCGGCUAACUCCGUGCCAGCAGCCGCGGUAAUACGGAGGAUGCGAGCGUUAUCCGGAUUUAUUGGGUUUAAAGGGUGCGUAGGCGGUUUUUUAAGUUAGUGGUUAAACGUCGGGGCUUCACCUUGAUUUUCCAUUAAUACUUUAAG